UACGAAGGUGGCAAGCGUUGUUCGGAUUUACUGGGCGUACAGGGAGCGUAGGCGGUUUGAUAAGCCCUCCGUGAAAUCUCCAGGCUUAACCUGGAAAGUGCAGAGGGGACUGUCCAGCUAGAGGAUGGGAGAGGAGCGCGGAAUUCCCGGUGUAGCGGUGAAAUGCGUAGAGAUCGGGAGGAAGGCCGGUGGCGAAGGCGGCGCUCUGGAACAUUUCUGACGCUGAGGCUCGAAAGCGUGGGGAGCAAACAGG
rnacentral:rRNA from 1 species